rnacentral:rRNA from 1 species
GACGAACGCUGGCGGCGUGCCUAAUACAUGCAAGUCGUGCGGAACCUUCGGGUUUAGCGGCGGACGGGUGAGUAACACGUGGGCAACCUGCCCGACAGACCGGGAUAACGCUUGGAAACGAGUGCUAAUACUGGAUACGCUCUUGAAUCGCAUGAUUCGAGAGGGAAAGCUGCUUUUGCAGCACUGUCGGAUGGGCCCGCGGCGCAUUAGCUAGUUGGUGAGGUAACGGCUCACCAAGGCGACGAUGCGUAGCCGACCUGAGAGGGUGACCGGACACACUGGGACUGAGACCCGGCCCAGACUCCUACGGGAGGCAGCAGUAGGGAAGCUUCCGCAAUGGGCGCAAGCCUGACGGAGCAACGCCGCGUGAGUGAUGAAGGCCUUCGGGUUGUAAAACUCUGUCUUCUGUGAAGAAUAAGCCUAUGAACAGAACGCUUAGGCCCUGACGGUAACAGAGGAGGAAGCCCCGGCUA